GAUCUUGUGGCGCAGCGGUAGCGCGUCUGAUUCCAGCAAUGGAGUUUCCAGAAGGUCAUCCGUUCAAUCCGGGUCAGGAUCA